GAUGAACGCUGGCGGCGUGCCUAAUACAUGCAAGUCGAGCGAACGGACGAGAAGCUUGCUUCUCUGAUGUUAUCGGCGGACGGGUUAUUAACAUGUGUAUAACCUACCUAUAAGACUGGGAUAAUUUCGGGAAAUCCUCGCUAAUACCGGAUAAUUUUUUGAACCGCAUUGUUCAAAAGUUAAAUACGGUCUUUCUUUCACUUAUAGCUUACUCCGCGCUGCAUUAGCUAGUUGGUGAGGUAACGGCUUACCAACGCAACGAUGGAUAGCCGACCUGAGAGGGUGGACGGACACACUGGAAGUGAGGAACGGUACAGACUCCGACAGGGAGAAACAGCAGAGAAUCUUACGGAAGGGAGGAGAGCCUGACGUAACAAAACCGCGUGAAUGAUGAAGGACCUAGGAUCGGUAAGCUAUGUUAGUAGGGAAGAACAAAAGUGUAAGUAGCUGUGAACAUCAUGACGGUACCAAAAGAAGAAGCCACGGCUAACUACGUG
rnacentral:rRNA from 1 species